rnacentral:rRNA from 1 species
UUUAAAUGGCCGCAGUAUACUAACUGUGCAAAGGUAGCAUAAUCAUUAGUCUUUUAAUUGAAGGCUGGUAUGAAUGGUUGGACGAGAUAUUAACUGUUUCAUAAAAAUUUAUAAUAGAAUUUUAUUUUUUAGUCAAAAAGCUAAAAUAAAAUUAAAAGACGAGAAGACCCUAUAAAUCUUUAUAUAUAAAUUAUUAGAAUUUUGUAGAUUUUUUUUAUUAUAAUAAUUGAUUGUAUUUUAUUGGGGUGAUAUUAAAAUUUAAUAAACUUUUAAUUUUUAAAAUCAUUAAUUUAUGAAUAAAUGAUCCGUUAAUAACGAUUAAAAAAAUAAGUUACUUUAGGGAUAACAGCGUAAUUUUUUUGGAGAGUUCAUAUCGAUAAAAAAGAUUGCGACCUCGAUGUUGGAUUAAGAUAUAAUUUUAGGUGUAGUCGCUUAAAUUUUAAGUCU